UUUAUUUAUUGCAGCACGUCAUUGUGAUACCAUCAUUUUGAGAGGAUGCAUCAACAUAAUACUAUCAUUUUCUUAGGGGUGCAUCGGUGUGACACCUUUCAUCUUCUUAAGGGUGCGUCGGUGUGAUACAAUCAUCUUUUUUAUGUUGCAUCAAUAUGAUACCGUUGUCUUCUUAAGGGUGCAUAGUGUGAUACCGAUGUCUUCUUGAGGGUGCGUCGGUGCGAUACUGGCGUCUUCUUGAGGGUGUCUCAAUGCAAUAAUAGCAUUUCCUUAGAGGUGUGUUGCUGCGAUACCAACAUCUUCUUAGAGGUGCGCAGGUGCAAUGCCAGUGUCUUCUUAGAGGUGCGCAGGUGUAAUACUAGUGUCUUCUUGGAUGUGCAUCAGUGCGAUAUUGGCAUUUUCUUAGAGGUGCGACUGUGUCUUGCCCCUUGCUUCGGGAGGGGCGGAGAUAAGUCGAAGCAAAACAAUACACAGUGGAGGCAGUGCUUGCAGAAGGUACUUACCUAAAAAAAGAGCAGCCUCAAAGUGGGUCUUAGGCGGGGGUAAGAGGAGGUGAGACCGUCAGGUCUCUCCCAAAAUAAAUCAAAGUAUUUAGAGUAGCUUGCUAGGCCAGGCAGACGCGAGCUCGCGCGAGGUUAAGGUUUUCCUCGUGUAAGCUUAAUCGUGUCCUUACGCGUGCUCAUGUCUGAGCUCAUGCUAGCUUAAGCUUAUCCUUGCACGAGGUCAAGGCUGAGCUUGCACGAGGUGAGGAGGGACCCAACAACCUAUAUAAAGGCUUGAUGCCACCAUCAU
rnacentral:lncRNA from 1 species